GACGAACGCUGGCGGCGUGCCUAACACAUGCAAGUCUACGAGAAACGGGUAGCAAUAUCCGGAGUAAAGUGGCGCACGGGUGAGUAACGCGUAGGCUACUUGCCUUCAAGACGGGGAUAAUCUCGCGAAAGCGGGCCUAAUACCCGAUGACAUCCUGCAACAGCAUUGUUGCGGGAUCAACGGCCCCAAAAGGGUGCUUGAAGAUGGGCCUGCGUCCCAUUAGGUAGUUGGCGGGGUAAUAGCCCACCAAGCCUGCGAUGGGUAGCUGGUCUGAGAGGAUGAUCAGCCACACUGGAACUGAGACACGGUCCAGACUCCUACGGGAGG
rnacentral:rRNA from 1 species